UAGUCCAUGCUGGCCACGCCUCCAAAUACUGAAUUACCAUCAGCAGCCAUCUUGUUCGCCUCGGUUCUUCCUUCUUUGCAGUGGAGGAUGGUUGUUUACAGCGCAGGUAAUUUCAGGAUUCUGGAGUCGCUGGUGUCCACAGCGGGGCGAAGUAAAAAGGGGAAAAAACACAAAAACAUCAUUGACCUUAAAACUUUUUGCACGGCGCAGUAGGAGCUGAGGUGACGGCUUUGACUUGACUCACGGGAUCGGACGUGGAAAGCAACAGCAAACGUCUCAGCUCAGCGAGACUUUUAUUUAUUCGAUCCCUUCUCUUCUUCUCCACAACUGGCUUCAAAAUCUAAAAACAGGAGGUCAGAAAGGUCAGAUGGUCCUUUGAACAAACCUGCAAGGGGACUUCGAGUUGGCAACCCAAGAGCUGGCUUAAAAAUGACAGAGCAUCACAAAGAUCAAACAAUGCUCAUAAAAUGAGUCAAGCACAAAGGAAGGUCAUUGGAAACAGAAAUGCACAUCGGUACCAGCCAAAAGAAGUAACUUUCCUACCCUUUUUCUACUCUUCCCGUCUUCAGGAGUUCGUAGCUUCCUGGUCAUGUUGUCCAGAGACUCUC